UGUGGGGCCCUGGUAGAGGACCACUUUCAUGCUUGGGUUCCCCUGUGCAGUCCCACCUCACAUUGGAGUUCUCAGUGCACGAGGGGGCUGACACGUGGCAGUCUGUGAGGUAGUCUCUAUUAAAUCGUUUGCAUAUUUAGCUUCUCUGUGUCCGGAAUUCGCAUUCAUCUUGCAAAAUUGUAACGGAGUUAAUUCACUUGCCAGGGAGAAACCCUUCUGGGUUUCCCACUCUAGGGCAUUUCUGGGGGUCUCUCCUCUUUUCAUUGGUGCAUUUCCUCUGAUACAGUUAACACUAAUGGGGACCAGGCAUGUGUAUGGACAGACGCACGAGCCCAUGUGUUAGAAAUUGAAUCUCUCAGUCUAGGUGUGUCUUGGAUAAGGUACAGUAAUUAUUAUUAUCCAUUAAUACCAGAGUGCACAAAUAUCACUGGGAAGUAAAUAUUUAAUAUUUCACACUCAUUGCCUCCUUUUAGUUUUUCAUUUGCUAUUGUGCAUAACAAGCAAAUGGUACAUACCUUCUUUCUCCCCUCUUAAAAUUAAGCUCCUUUAAUUUUGCAGAGCAUCUAGUCGUUAAACACAAACUCUCUCAUUUUCUCACAUUGGAUAUUGAACAUUCCAGCUAUCUGCAGAGAAGUCGGCCUGUAGACAGAGGUUUUAAAACUGACAAGUGAACCGGGAGGAGGGAGGCGUUAUGUCGUGUUGGACUUGGCACAACUCCUUCCAAAGCAACAUCGCCCGUCUUUGGACCCUGGAACAGAGCACAAAGAGGGAGACCGGCACAUAAUUUGGCUCUGCAAAUAAUUCUUGAAUUAAUCAAAUCAGUCUGUGCCUCCUAACUCCUGCACUCCGCUCUUGGCUCCCCAGUCUGUUGGUCUGGCAUCCUCUCCUGUUCUGUCCUUGGUGUGACCUUCACAUCUGACCAUUUGUCUUCAGUGGCCUGAAUUCACUGAGGACGUGCAGCUGACCAGCCACUAUUGGCCAUCACAGGAGGCUUCGCAGUGGUGAGGUUCCGCUUUCUUCCCACUUGACCCCUAAAGAAACCAGAAGGGCAGACGCUGCUGUGACCAGGAUGAGGAGGGCACCCAGCGUAGUGGAUCUGGAGCAGGCUGCAGGCCGUAUUAUGCUAAAUCAAGGAUACGGGAGAUAAUUAACACAGCAGCUCUGGCAAGUUUAAUAGGUGAGCAACGAACACCGAGAGUCGGCCCUCAAAAUCCACGUCUUCAUUACCAGCCGCCUGGGCGCAGGGACCAAGCAGGGGCAUGUGUGUUGUGGAGACCCCGAGUUGGGCACAAGUUCUCAUGAGUUUCUGUGAACCCAUCACAAGACUGAGAGAUUUUGAGGAAAAAACGCAAAUACGCUUUAAAGGGUGGUGGUGGUUAUUCUCAGUUCCCAUGCCUUCCUCUACACACAGCCACCUCCAGGUGCGCCUGCAGGCAACAGAAGCUACAAUGCAUACUCUGAAACUGUGAGCAUCUCGCUGAGACUCCUUUUCCUCUUUGCUCAACACUGGAUUUAGGAGGGCCACCUUUGAGGUCAGCAAAGAAUCGAGGAACAGGGCGCAGAGACCGGAAGCAGCAGGUUUACUGCAAAGGCCAGAGACACAGAGACGGACUUCUCUGAAGAGAGGGGCCCAGAGCUGGGAGUCUGGCGGGAGCAGGAAGUGUCCGUCUGACUGGGUCCCCCUCGUGUGUCAAGCAGGAAGUUGAGCUCACCGGAAGUCUUUCUCCGAGCGCCGACCUCCUGGCUGCCAUCUUGCCCUGGCUGCCUCCGCCCCUCUGCCUCUCCCUCAGCGCGUGGAAGCACUGGCCACUCCACCACCUCGUCACGCUCGAGGCCUCGGGCUCCCGCCAAAGCCAAACCUCGUGGUAAGGGUUUUCGUGGUCUGGGAAUUGGCCGUCCAGGACUCCUACCCGCUCUCCAGCGGCCCGUCCUGUUCUUUACUGGUUCUGGAGAGCAGCCCUCAGGCAGUGACAGUGACAUGCUGGCGUCACACUGCGCUGUCCAUUCCUCUGCCAGCCGUCCUGUCCCCCACCUUCCCACCUCCUGCCGCCCUGCCCCAUGCUCCGCCCGAGCUGUUCCCUCUGCUUGAGAACCCUGAAGGCUGCUUCCCAACCUAACCCCUGGGAAAGCUUUCCAUGUCCCCCAGCUCCUAGUGUCCCCUCCUAGUGGGCAAAGCCCUCUGUAGAGAACCAUGGGGGCUGCUCUGCCUUUUCCUCCCGCAAGUCCCAGUCCCGAAGGAGAAGACAGCGCCUGCUGGGACUCGCCCCCUGCUCCGUUGGGGAGGGGAGUCCUCACCCACCCCGACAGCCUAUGGGACAGGGACAUUCUCAGCCACACCCGGGUGGCCAGCUCUGACAUAUGCAUUUCUGUUAAUUGACACUUUCCCUUGUCUUUCGAACCAGUUCCCUUUGAUUCCAGUUUUCAAAGGUGAUUCUACCCCUGAGAAAUAAGAAGUCCCAAAUGUGCCUGUAGGAAGUAAAGGGGGAAAAAAAACCCAUAGGUAUUCCCUUCACUCUUUCACAAGUAUCUCUUCCCAGCAGAGAAAUUCAUCAAAGGACUUCCUGUCUGCCCAGCGUCAACCUGGACCUGAGACGCAUCCGUUUUCUCCUAUUCUCUUGUGUGAAGGAUAAGGGUUUGCCCUGGUCAUCCACGAUUUUGACACUGGGAUUUAACCCAACCAAGGGGUGGGGUGGGUGGGGGAGAAACCCACCCACCAAACUGCGUGUUAUUUACCCAUUUCAAUAUUUAAUUUCCUGUCUCCAUUACGCACGUUUCAGUAUGCAGAUUAUUUGCCCAACAUAAUUUAUCAGUUCCUCCUUAGAUAAUAUUCUCCUCAGGGUACAUAUUGUUCAUAUUUAGAAAUUCUUAUUAAUCUCAAGAAUCACAUUGUUUAUCCAACAAAAUUAUUACAGCUUUGAUGAAGCUUUUAAAGUGUAACAUGUAAAUCACUAUUUUCUCACUUUCAUAAGCAGCUGAAUUUUUGAUCGGGUGUAUUAUUAUGGUUUAGAAGAUAUCGAGUCUCAGGGAAAAUGUACAAGAUGGUGCCAUAAUGUGUAGAUGAGGCUAUUUAAUUAGAACUGCUGUUAAUGACAAAUUGCCACCACGGUAGCUAGCCCUCCUCCAAAUUGCCUUUCUUAAGUAGAUAAAUGAGUGGUGCAAUCCGGUGUCAUUAUAAAUAGGACGGGGCUAAUAUUUAAAGCUAUAAGUGUUACAAUAACAAAUGGCAGGGGGGAAGGAGCAAGCGAAUAUUUAAAUAUUUACAAUCGCUUAUUUUGAAAAUUGCGUAUUGAUCAUUUUUACCUAGGAAAAUAUUAGAGGGAUUCUUUAAUAGAAACAAAAACUUAAAGGAACUGCAUUAGAGGAGGAGUCAGUAUUUUGUUGAUCGUUUUCCUUGAUGUUUAUAUUCAAGUUUACAUUCAUGCUCAAUGAGGCUGUCUUAAUUGCAUCAAUUAUAUGAUAAAAUAUUGUAUCUUUUGAUAUUUUUUUAUCUUUGAGGGGAAGAAAAAAAAGAAAAGAAAAUAUAGCUUCCCUGCUUGUGAGCUGUGUUUUGUGAGAUAAUAGACAUCAUUGACACCACUUGCUAACAUACCAAAAAUAGACCUGGGGAGGGAAGGGUGGCAUUUGCUAGCACUUGUGUAUCCAUGAUUGUGUUAUUCUGUCCCUGCAAGGAUGGCAUUCCUCAUUUGACCACAGGGAAAUAGAACAGAAGAGGGGUCUGUGGAGGGAAUGAAUCUGCAGAAUCAAUUAAUAGCAAAACCAGGCUCCCAAGGCAUGACUUAGUCACGUUUUUUUUCCUGUGAACGUAGACAGACUGUGAACAGGGGAGGGCUGCCUGUGCUCGGGUUACCAGGGGGCUUUGCAAAGCAGGUUCCAACAUCAGGGCGGGUCCCAACACCAGCACCCAGCUCUUCAUUGCCAUCGAUCUUCCUGUUUUUGAUGCAGUUCCAGUAUUGCCUUAUGUUUUCCACUCAAUUUUUUUCUUCAGAGCUAAUAUGUGACAUGACGUCAAAAUUGAGGUGAAGAACUUGCCAAUAUGGGAUGCUCACUGAUUCCAUUUUGUCUUAUUGGAAUUAUGUUUAUAAGGUGGAAAAUUUCUAUUUCUAGAAUCAGCAAUUACACCCUUUAAUUCUUUUUUCUAUUCUUAGCAAUAAAAACACAUUUUUCCAAUAACCACCUACAAACUGCCACAUGGAUGAAGUGCUGCGAAGCCACCCAAAAGCACCAGAGCUAGCCCUAGGUUGAAGCUCCAGCCCAUGCCUUGGAGAACCAGCUCUGAUUCACAAGAAGGUGCAUCCUGGAUCUUCUACACACAUGCUGACCCUGUUUCCUUCUGGAGCCAUAGGAGAGAAUGGGCAGAGUGACAUUAUCAGUGUGUUUGGCUGCUUCUUGGGCUCACGUUGCAAAAGGCACCAUUGCUGUGCUCUGUUCUGUGACCUGACCCAAGCCUUCCCCUCGUCACUUCCCAUGCACUUUCUGUGUGUGUCUCCAUUGAGGAGAACAUUGUAGUUGAAGGAAAACCCACCAGUGCCUUCGAUGACCACUUAAGAAAUGGCUCUGUUGAAACCCAGUGUCUAUUUCAGGGAUGGCAGCCUCAAACCUAGAGCGACUAUUGAAGGGCAGCUAGGUUGGUUCUACAGUGUAGCUAUUGUGAAUUGAGCUGCUAUGAACAUUGAUAUGGCUGUGUCACUAUAGCAUGAUGUUUUUAAGUCCUUUGGGUGUAGACCUAGG